UACGGAGGGUGCAAGCGUUAUCCGGAUUCACUGGGUUUAAAGGGUGCGUAGGUGGGUUGAUAAGUCAGUGGUGAAAUCCCCGAGCUUAACUUGGGAACUGCCGUUGAUACUAUCUGUCUUGAAUAUUUGUGGAGGUGAGCGGAAUAUGUCAUGUAGCGGUGAAAUGCUUAGAUAUGACAUAGAACACCAAUUGCGAAGGCAGCUCGCUACACAUAUAUUGACUCUGAGGCACGAAAGCGUGGGGAUCAAACAGG
rnacentral:rRNA from 1 species